GGAGGGACGGAGAAAGCGGGGCGGCGCCGGUCCGCCGCUGACUCCAGCCGGGAGAGGCACCGCCCCCAGCCCGAGACCCUCCCGGAACCCUCGCGCCACCCGCGGCCGGGAGCGGGAUCCUGUCUUUGGAGCUCGGGCGGCGCUUUCUUUGGCUGGGAGUACGUGCGCUCUGAACCGCGACUUUGCGUUUAGGCGCGGAGUCCCGGUGCCCUAGCUCCCGGGAGCGUGAACCCGGUCCCGCAUGGUUGCCUCUCACCUGCGCCUCUGCCCCUGCCUGGAGGUUUUCCCUGGAACCGCGCGGCCUGGUGCCAGAACUAGAGAGCUGGUCUGAACCACACCACCAAAAAACGUGAGUUCUAAACGCAGACGGAGAGCUAGCCGGCCCCCUCCAGUCUGAAGUUGUUUUCAAUUCCGAGAGGUCGGGCAGGGGGCGCCCCUUCUUGGGUGAGCGUCCAACGCUUUGAAACUCAAUCCCUGAGAAAAGCCAAUGGUUCCGGUGUCUAGUGUCUGGGAAACCAGCUAAGACAAAGGCGCCUCCUGCUGGGAAUCCACUGCGUCCAGGAUGAACGUACUCAGCCUAAUUGUGAUCAAGUUCACUGCCCAGUGAUGGAUUCUGGAGGACUGCACGAAUCCAUGGAGACACGGUGUCCACGUGUGUCCCCUAGGACCUAGGUAGUUUUUCCAUUGUUGCUUCUUUAAACCGGAAGAGUAGAAGUUCAAGAGGUCCCUGCUGGCCACCGAACAGCUAAUUGGGAACUCAUUUUAUGAUAUGGAGGUGGCAGAGGCAUUUGGGAAACGUCUCCCUAUGACAAUGGUAACUUCUAUUUCUGACAUCUUUACUAGGAACGAAGCCAAUACGGCCAUACACUUCCCCUGAGCCUUAUCAUUUAAUCCUCAUAACAACCCCAAAGGCAGUUAUUAAUUAUGCCCACUUUCCAGAAAUCAAAGCAGAGGCUCAUGGGAGUGACAUUCUUUGCAGUGUUACACAGCUGGAAAGUAUUCGCAUCCAGAUGCAAGUUGUCUACUCUAGAGCAUGUGUUGUACCUGCCAUAAAAUAAUUCCCCUUGGGCACAAUCUUACUACCUUGCAGGGUAGACAGUCCCCAUGCCUGCAGGUGCUUAAUAGUAUUUGUUGAGUGAAAUAAGCCCCAAAUAAUUACACAUUAUUUUCAAGAAUAAAGGGAACACUUUGUGUUGGCAGCUGCCUGUCAUGACAUUGCUCCCGUUUCACAGCUGUGUGUGCCCAAAGUUCAGACAAUGAGUUUGGGUACUUUCCCAGGCUCCAAAGUAGAGAUGGGAGACAGUCACGUAACAUUCAGAUAUGACCGAAUAUCUGGUUUUCCUUUCUCUCUGCGAGACCCACUUGGGAAAGGCUCAGGCAGAGCAGGAUCAUUCUAGCAGCUGCUUCAGCCUCGAACCUGGAAGCCAAGCUGGUAAUUUUCCAUGCGAGGAUCCAACCUCAGAUCAGACCCACCCACCCCCACACUGCCACAAACCCAGCUGGGCAGGGCCUGGCUAUCUCAGAAAAUCAUCUCCCAGUGUUCCAUAAGCAGGCCCGCCCUGGUUAAUCUGGGAGAGGAGAAAUUCACAGACAGCUGAGCCGCAGGCAAGUCUGAGAAGCUAGCAAAAGACGCCUCUCCCAUCCUCUCCUGCAGGUCCCGCUCCUUUUAUUAUCUCUGAAUUACCCUGUUCUCCAUAUCCUGUCAAAGAGGCUGGCUUUAAGUUACCUGCCAACUUUUGCCACUUAAAUGUCAGUUUACAAGGGUCUGAGAUUUAUCACUGGGAAAAGAUCCAAAGAAAUGAAUCUCAAAUGGUGGUGUUUCUAUUAAGCAUUGUCCUGGGUGGGGGGUAGAUGACAGUUACCAUUUACUGGUCUCCAGGGUUGAGUGCAUUGCAUACAUGUGCUAGCUGAUCCUCACACCAGCCCUAGAAAGAAGACUUUAUUUUUCCAGUUUCCCAGGUGAGGCCAGAUGUGCUAGCAAGUGAUGGAGCCAGGAUUUGUGUCCCUCUCCCCAGAACCUGAUCCCUUACACGGAGGACGGAUUGUAGAUGGGAAUGAGCUCCAGAGCCUGAGAAGGGGCUUGUCCUGAGUUGUCCCAGUGGGCCCGAUCGAGUCACAGGGAGGGUCAGAGUCACAUCUCAGAUGUGACAAUGGAAACAGGAGUCAGAAUGAUGAGGGGGCUGGGAAGGGGGCGAUUAGCCAGGAAGGGGACCCCGGGAGCGGGGCAGUGGGGCAGGUUGGAGCAUCCACUGGGAGCAAGUCCUGCCCACACCUUGCUUUUAAGCCUAAGGAGACCCAGCUUUGGCUUCUGCCCUCCAGAAUUGUUAAGAUAAAUGGAUCUGUGUUGUUCUGCACCAUAAGCUCUGGGGUAAUUUGUCUCAAUAGCCAUAGGAAAUAAAUCCAUCCUGCAGACUCAGGCCGACUGGUGGGCUGUCUAGUCUAAGGCUCUCGAGAGGCACCACAGUCCAGCCUGCAUCAUGGAUUUAGAAGGAACGCAGACUAAUGAGAGCUGUCUUUGGAUUCUGGCUCUUCUGCCUUCUGUGAGCUGUGUGACCUUGGGAAGAGGUCUUGUUUUCCCUGAGCCUCAGUUUUUCCACCUGGAAAAACAGUAAUACUAGUAAGACCUACUUUGCUGGGUCAAUAUGAGGACUUGGUAAAGCCCAGGGUUAAGGAUGCCCCCAGCAUGGAGAUGGGGACCUCAACUCACCCACCCACAGAGUAGGUUGUAGGUUCUCUGACUGUUUUGAUGGAAAGAGAAUUUUCAAGAUGCAUCAAGAACAGACACAAAAAGGAUUUCCAAGGCAGAGUGAGAGAGUGCCGACUCAUGAGAGUUCCGUCUGGGGUUAGGGUUUAGGUGGUCUUGGGGUGUCUUGAGGCACUAGAUCUAGGAUCUGGACAUCUAGGAUGUGUGUUCCUAGUGUCUGUUUGGUGUGCAAACCACGUACGGGCACCCAAAGUCUAGAGCUGCGAUGCCCAAGUAGGAGUGUAGCUUCCUCCAGUUGGGGUCUGCGGGCUGCAACACACGCCUGCCUGAUGUUCGGGCUUAGGGAUUUUUCCCGUUUGGAAUGAGUUGCACUGACAGGCUAAAAGCAUUGGUCUUAGCUAACUGUGUGCACUGAAGCUGUUUUUAAAUUACAAUUUUCCUUGUCUCCUUCCUACUUUUCUUACCUGUAGUCUGCAGCACCAGUGGUAUCAUUAACUGAGAAAUUAGAUUACAUGUGAUGCUCCGUAUGUGAUGUUUUAAAAAGAUGUAGAAGGGGCUGGGGAUUUAGCUCAGUGGCAUAAGCACCUGCCUUGCAAGCAGGCGGUCGUGAGUUCGAUCCCUGGUACCGAUAAAAAAGAAAAAGACAAACAAAGAAAUUAAAAAAGAUGUAGACCCGUGUAGAGUUGAUUAUGCAUGGAGAGCCUAUGGGAAGAGGGUACCCGAGGAACUGACUCGUGUUUCUGUAUAUGUGCAUUGUGGUGGGGGAGAGGGUGAAAAAUAAUUACAGUUACCAAGAAAAAUGUGUUACUUGAAGAAAUUUAGGUUGGCCAGGAACCACCUUGCCAGGGACCCCCCUUGUCUCUUAUUGUCUGCCCCUGUGGCUUCCCUAGAUUGCUGUCCCCUCUGUCACCCGCUGCUCCAUUCUCUUGGGAGUGCCAGCUCCUUCCCACUUACUCUGCAUUUAGGCUCGAUGUGGACUCAAAUCUGAAUCCAACAGGAGCUGAGCAGAGACAUCUCAGCUGCGUGAGCUAAAGUCAGCAGCAAAUCACACAACGCCCUUGCGAUCUGGCCCUGACUGAAUGCCUCGCCUGACGGGCUGGCCAGGGGCAUACCCUGCGUGUGGGUUCCCGGAUGACUGAUUCCGCCUAACCUGAUCCCAAAGGCUGAGUCAGGUCUGCGUGGCAGAGAAAAUUAUGCUUUUUUAAUAGAUUUUUUUUAUAGAGCAAAAUUGGGUGGUGGGACCAUUAAUUUAAAAGGAACAGUUUUAGUCCCGUUUUCUGAAAAUUUUUAAAUUCCAGAACUACAUCCCUAGGGGCUGAGAUCUCAGUGCAUCAGGGCAAGGUAGAUGCUCCAGACAGCCUGGAAGGAAGCUCGUGGGGCCAUGGUAGCCAAAGGCUCCGGGUACAGGUCCUCGAGACCCUGAGUGAUAGAGAACCAGGUCUCCAGAUCUCUUGUGUCGUGGCUUGUGGAACUGAUACUGGGGAAUGAAACUCCCAACCUACUAUGUCUGCGAGUUCGUGUUCUCUAAAACUGAAUGAAUUUUAGGAACAAUGGAGAUUAAGAGUAGAAUAUAUUUAUCAAGAGAAGGAAAGCUUCUGCCUGAGAGAGACAGAAGGGGUCCUGAGUGGGACUCUGUCUUUUCUAGGGACUUUACAGAGUAAAACCAUAGGUUUAAGGGGGUGGGCUGGGAACUCACAAGGCAGAUGGGCAUAAGGUGGGACAUAACUGUAGUUAGCCAAUAAGAUCAACAGUUCAGGUAAAAUUGAUUACAUUAGGAACAAAUGGGGAAGUGAGUCCCGUAGAAAUCAGGCAUUCUUAAGGAUGGGAUGGUGACUCCAGGCUUCCGCAGGGUGAUAGGGAACUAUUUAGGGUAUCAAUCCUCAGGACAUGAGUGCAUUUGUUUGGUCUUUUGUCUUGAGGCCUGGUCCACAGCAGGAGCUGUCUGUCCCUCGGUGUUCACCCCCACAGUUGCCAGAUAUCUGAGCUUUGCAUUUGCUCCUUUGAGGCCCUCGCCCUGUCUCACUGCCUAUAAUAUCUCUAACUAACUCAGCUGCCUGCAACAAAACCUCCCCUUGCCCCCAAGCCUGAUGAUCAUGGAAAUUCGCCCACCAUUCUUCCAUUCCGGAAAUGUGCAGCGCAGAUCUGACUGAGACCUGGCUCCCGUUGUCCCCAACGCCAAGGGCGGCCUCCUUGAUAAGGACUCAGAGGACUUCAAGAGUGGUGGAGCAUCCUGAGCUGCUCAAGCUCUUACCCAUCCUGCAAGCCAAUUGCCCCACACCCUUUCUUCCUGUAAGUUUUUUUCCUUGGUGGUGAAACCUUUCCUGCCACUCCCAGGAAGCUUUCUUUGUGUCACCUGUAGUGGAAUGGGUCACACGCUCCUCCCACGCGAGGCCCCUGGAGGUUGCUGUAGACAAUCGGGAUUCACCUGGAGUUGCAGGGAGUGGCACAGAUGCCUAACCCUGGAGUCUUUACCAUGAGGAAGAAUGCCAGUGACUGUCAGUGCCCACCAGCACCCACCCAGGCACCAGCAGGCUCAGGGAGGCCACACGCAGCGGGGUGCAUGUGGAGACAUGCAAAUGCUGCCACCUUUCCCUUUGAAGACUGGAGAAGCACCUGAGAAGGAAGCCCGGAGGCCACCUGGCUGCCCUGACCCCUGCCAGUUAGCAACUGCACGGAAAUCACCUGCAGCAAGUGAGGGCCCCUUGACUACAAAGAAACCCACUCUUAAAGAGAUGUAAAUGACCAGGAGCCAGGUGUGGUGGCACCUGUGUGUAAUUUUGACACUCUGGGAGGCUAAGGUAGGAGGAUUGCAAGUUGGAGCGCAACCUGGACAACCCAGUGGGACCUGUUUCAAAAUUUAAAAAAAUUAAUGAAAAGGCUGGGGAUGUAGCUCAGUGCAAAGACCCUGGGUUCAAGCCCAAUAAGCUCCCUUCCCAGAGAUAAAACAUUGAAAAAAACCAAAAACACAACAGAUAACAACAGUAAUAGCAGCCAACAUUCCUACAGUACUACCAGCCAAGCAGAAUUCUAAUCAUUUUACAACUACAGACACAUUUAAUUAUCCUUACAGCCGUGAGAGGGAGAUAUUACAUCUCCCGUGCAUUACAGAUGAGGAACCUGCGGCCCAGGUGGCCCCUGGCUACCUGGAGUCUGUGUGGUGCUCUUGGUCUGUGCUGCUCGGUGGACAGUGGCAGCGCUGAUGAAAGUCCUUCCCCUGUGUGUGUUCUGUCCCUGGGUUCUUACCACGGGAAUGCCUGACUCAUCGAAAAAGUAGAGAGCUUCAAAAUCUGAACCUUGGGGUUGUAGGAGCCUGUGCUUACAUGGCACAGGCCUGUAAUCCCAGCAUUCUGGGAGGCUGAGGCAAGACGAUCACAAGUUUGAGCCCAUCCUGGGCAGUUUAGCAAGACCUUGUCUCAAAAGUUAAAAAAGGGGAAGGGACAUAGCUCAGUAUAAAGAUCCUGAGUUUGUUCCUCAAUACCACGAACAAAAAGAAGGCUUUUGAGUUUGAAAGGGAGAGCCUCAGGGUCUCUAGCCACAGAGUGGAUGACCUUGCCAAAAAGGCUGGGGACAGAGCAAGGCCCAGAGCCAUACGCCAGGACUGGCCGAAGGGCAGGAGCUCUGGUGGAGGCUGCGGAGGAGAAGAGAUGGAGGCAGGGUCGUUACCACGUGAACCAAGCUCGAGGUUCCACGAACACGGAGUGAAGUCUUGAACCAAAGGAGGAAGUUAUGAGAGUUUUUAUUAGACAUAAUAACAAGAGAGAGCUCCUGAUCGGGGUCUGUCAUCAGUGAAUUUCCAGGCAAAGCUCUCUGUGCUGAUGUAUAUGCCUAAGCAGAGUGCACAAAGAGGGUGGGAUUCAAAAACCCGAAAACUGUUUAGUGUUUCAGGUCUCUACAGGUCCUGGAAGACGUGAUUAAAGCCUAACAGGGUAUUCUGGAUACAGCUGUUUUCCUGUAGGAAAGAGACUCUCUUUAUUCUCAUCCCAAUCCUGUGUUUUUGUGUUUACCUUUAUGUCUCUAAAUUGGGCUUAGCUGCUUGGGCUACUUAUUUAUUUUACAUUUCAAAGCUUAAUUGGCUGCUUGCUUAACUUUUCCGUCUGACUUUAUCUUAGGCAUCUCCAGCUGCCUACUUAUAACUAUAUUAGGCUACUGCAGGUUGGGGGGCUCUGGAAAGUUGAGUGGGGGCCCAUUCUGGCUUCACGAGUGAAUAUGAGUUGGGUACAAGAUCAGGAGACAAGUGUGUCCAUUACUCAGCAGGCAGGACUUAACUUUAAAACUUGAGCCCCUGUGUGGUACCCAAGACCCUUCCUCUGUCUCCAGCAGCCCUGCAUGUGUGCCAGCUCAUGCCACCAAAAGGGUACAAGUUUCCUGGCGAAUGAAUGCUUCACAGUGACGAGUCACUUAGCAAGCACAGGUCAUGUAUCAUUUUAGAUAGGGAAGUAAACUUCAGGCCACAAUUAUCAUGCUAUUAUUGAAACCAAGUAGAGUAAAGAGAGGAAGAUGGCUCGGACAGUGGUACCUGGUUCACAAAUUUAAUUGAUUCCUCAGUUUUGAAAUAAAUGGCCGCCAUAGUGUUGGUGUAGGAAAGAUGGCCGCCAUUGUGUUUGUCACUCGAUGCAGAGUUCACAAACAAAAACGAAAUUCUGGCAAAUGCCUCUGUUUGCAAACCAAAUUGUUCAUAAACAAAAGCAUUUGUGAACUGAAGCGCCACUGUAUUAGAGAAGCAACCCUAAGAGAAUUCAAGAAGAAAUAUCUAUAGGAGAGGUUCAAUAAGCAGCCCUAGUAUCCAGGAGGUGGCAAGUAACUGAGACAGGCUUCUCACAGACCUGUGGGCCUUUAAAACCUAGAGGCCACACACUAAGCAAGUGCUCUAUCAGUGAGCUGCACCCCCAGCCCUGCUCAUGUUUCUCUGCCUGCUUCUGUACAGGGACACACAUAUACACAAGUACAUGUGACAUACGAAGCCUGUAUGGCCCCUGUGGAUUGUGCCAUUGUUAAGUGCAGGGCUGUGACAUUGUACGGUAGCUAUACAAGAUGCUACCCUUUGGGGAGGCUGGGAAAAGGCCACUUAGGGUCUUCUUAUAAUUGUUUUUUUACAAUUUUCUGUGAAACUGUAAUUACUUUGGAAUAAAUAUUUUAAACCCAUGUAA